CAACUGGGCAACUUUUCCUUUGCACAGGUUUUGAUAAAUCUCCCCCAAUGUGCGUUCUCACAGUGCAAAAUAAAAUCAAAAAUGGCAGUAAAAGAGAUGUGAAGAGAUUGACAUGGUGGUCUGAUCCGGACAGAGAAGAAAGGGAAAGAGGACGCCGCCGAUUAGAAAAGACGUUCUGUGAAGACAAGUUGUGGCUGGAAGAAAUCGUCAUGAAAGUCUGAGCCGGAUGGAGAAGAAAAAGUAAAGUGAC